AACUGUUUUAUGAAAUAAAUGUACAACCUUGCCAAAUUUGUUUGAGAGUUGAUUCACAAAACAAUUAAAUAAAAGUGGAGAUAUUGCAGUCCGAAAACUUUGGACUUGUGCGUCAAUAUCGCCGUAGGUCACGAUGCCCGACAAAGUGGCUUAUCGUAAAUCCCGCCCUUCUUCUUGAUGCCGACCCGAUACAACACUUGUCGCUUCCGUAUCCGCUGCCAGUUCUGAAUCGCCCCCACAGAUCGAUGCCACCACUUAGAGCGAUAAUGGCAAGAUACACGUAGUUAUGCCAGAUUUCGAGAGCUGUGUGCCACAAUAAUUAACACAAAUUACCACUACUACCCCCUUUAUUAAAUGGGCGAGUAGAAAUAUUUGGAAAAAAUAAAAGGUUAUUAAAC